AAGCUCCUAGAUACACCACUCACUAUCCAAAUAAUAGUUUAGCUUAAUUUAGGAAGGUUCAACCUCGAGUUAGGCUCGCCACUCACUAUCCAAAUAAUAGUUUAUCUUAAUUUAGGAAGGUUCAACCUCGAGUUAGGCUCGCCACUCACUAUCCAAAUAAUAGUUUAUCUUAAUUUAGGAAGGUUCAACCUCGAGUUAGGCUCGAAAAGUAUGCAUAAGCUCGUAGAUCGCAAAUUCCGCCAACGAGUCAUCCUGGGAAGAGUGGAAUCGUCAAGCUCGGGUGGAAUUUCGCGCAUGCAAACUCGGUUAAGGUGCGGGGAAAGGACCAGCAUUGGAAUAGGGAAUUCCUCCAGAUCACGUUUUUUGGAAGGCAAAGGUCCUGACAGAGUUACAGGAGGACCACCACAGUAGGGCUACAGCUUCAGCAAGGGUCAACAAGCAUCACUACUCCGGGCUUGCUAUAUUUUGAUAUAUCUAUGCUACCAUGAUACUUGUCCUCAUGUUAUGGGUAUGUCGGGGCCCUGUCCCGACGCUUAUAUUUUGUACGUAUACUCCUAGAGGCUUAUAGACAUUGUAGCAUGUGUAUGUGUUGUCUGUUGAUCUGGUCAGUCUUGGAUAGUCGAAGUAUGCUUUUGGACAACUUUGUUGGCCCUAUGACUUGCUGAUGUGAUUAUGUAUA